CCCUCCUCCUUCCAGCACCUCCCCUUCCUCCUAAUCCCCCUCCCGUCGCCGCCAGCGCAGGACACCGGGCCUUGCUCGCGUGGUACCGGCGGCGGCGGUCCGUUUUUCCCCUGCGCGGCGAUGCGGCUCGAGUGGUGGCGGCUGGCGACAAUGCACCCAGGCCGGCAACGGAUCCCGUGGCGGUGCAGCUUCGCGGGUGGCGUGGCUGCUUAGCUGCGGGGCGGUGCGAUGGCUGGCGGCGGCGCCCUUCCGGCCCAGAUCUGGCCAUCUGGGUCUGGGCGGGCUUGACGUGGGCUUUCCGGCAUCGUCUUCGGCGGAAGGAGGUGUGGCUGGUGCGUGGGGUGGCGGAGACGAUCGCACGCGUACGUCAGCGCGGUGACGGGAGCUUUCACUAGCCUGUUUCAGGCUCGGUUGGUCAGAGGUGUCUUGUUUGCUCUCGAGCUGCGUCCUGUCGGUUACAGCCAAGGGUGGUGGAGGUUGUCCUCUCCGGCAUGGCUGUUGACUCUGCCGCUCCCGUUACCGGCUGCUUCCUCUUGAUCACGUCGGUCUCGCUUUGCUUGCCACGGUGAGACGGCGAUGGUGACUACAAGACCGUAGGGGCCUAUAUUGGUGGAUGACAUGUAUGGUGGAGCAUGAUGGAUCGUCCGAGUCGUCGUUGGUUAGCGGUUGGGAGAAAUCCUUGUCGGCUUGUCUGGCAUCGACACGAUGACGUUCGUGGGUGUUGUCGUGCCUUCUUGAAGGGCGUCGAUUAUGCCCCUUCCCCCACGCUCUUUCACGUAUCGGGGAAAACCGUAGGACUUGUCCGGGGUAGCAGCGUCGUAGUCGUCGCCUUCCUUCUUGAAAGUGCUGUUUGGUAUUCAGCGUUCCGGAGUGCUAUGAGUGUGGUGGAAUUCUUCGACGGACGCAGCGGCUGUGAGUCAUCUUUGCUUUCGUUGAUCCGACAUUGUUGGCAUUUUUAUCUUUCUUGUUUUUUUUGGUGUGCUUGUGCUGAGGUCCCAGCAAUUGUAUCGAGUAUAUUAGUAAAGCAGGGUGAAAACCUAUUUCGUCUAUCUCUGGUGUGAAAGCAUGCACAAAGACACCGACAGAGCUCCGACAGUGAGGUGGGGCGAGGGCCUCGCGUUGGCGUGUGGCGAUGGUGCUACUGGCAGCCCACGGGUAGCAACGGGCACGAAGUUGGAGGUCAGCGACGAGGCAUCGAUGGUGUUGCGUGGUGGCGGCGGUUGUGGCGAUGAGUUGGGUGGCGCGGUGGCGACAACCCUGAGGCAGAGGCAGGGGAGCGCGGAGGCAUGCAUAUGUAGGUAGUUGUCUCCCGUCAAUGUCAAUUGCGUUAUAGGAAAAUAUGCAUCAUACCCUCUGUAUAGAGGAAAAUGAGGUUUUUAGGAUGAAAAUGAAAAUAUUGGAUUUAGAGGAGUUCGUUGGAGCUUGUAUUUUUUUUAGCCGACUUUCUCUAUGGUUGGUUUUUGCUGGGGAAAGAGGGCUGUUGGAGUUGUACUUUAGUCCGAGCGGAUGUGGCUGACUGACUAAAUAUAGUCGGCUGGGGGCAAGUUUAUUCUUUUUAAACCCAAUAUCACUUUUACUCUUUAAUUUCAAGUUUUAAAAGAUUC